CCUACGGGUGGCAGCAGUGAGGAAUAUUGGUCAAUGGACGAGAGUCUGAACCAGCCAAGUAGCGUGAAGGAUGACUGCCCUAUGGGUUGUAAACUUCUUUUAUAUGGGAAUAAAACGUUCCACGUGUGGGAUUUUGUAUGUACCAUAUGAAUAAGGAUCGGCUAACUCCGUGCCAGCAGCCGCGGUAAUACGGAGGAUCCGAGCGUUAGCCGGAUUUAUUGGGUUUAAAGGGAGCGUAGGUGGAUUGUUAAGUCAGUUGUGAAAGUUUGCGGCUCAACCGUAACAUUGCAGUUGAAACUGGCAGUCUUGAGUACAGUAGAGGUGGGCGGAAGUCGUGGUGUAGCGGUGAAAUGCUUAGAUAUCACGAAGAACUCCGAUUGCGAAGGCAGUUCACUGGACUGCAACUGACACUGAGGCUCGAAAGUGUGGGUAUCAAACAGGAUUAGAUACCCGAGUAGUC
rnacentral:rRNA from 1 species